UUCAUUACAUAACUCCGAUAAUCAUAAUUUUGUCCGUUGAGGUGAAGACCAAUAGAUUGAAGAGAACCAUCUUUUUCAUUGUUAUUACUAUUUUCUAAGAUGGACAUCUAUUUAUGUAUAUUAAAUCCAAUGCUUUAAAUUAUAUUGCGACACUUAACACAGUUUUCUUCAAAAAAUAAUCUACAUCGUCCUAUUAGCUUAUGUGUACAUCUUCU
rnacentral:lncRNA from 1 species